AUGUUUGUGCAAGAGAACGAUGAUUACAGUUACGCAGAACUUGACCUCCAGUUAUCAUUGGCUGAGUUGAACGGCUGCUUAGUUCUGUUUCAUAAUAUUCUUCACAAAUCUAUGGACUUGUGGUUUUUGUCAGAUUCUGAGAAAAGUAUCUGGGUUAAGAAAUACAACAUGCCUUCACAUGUUUCUAGGCUUUAUAGGUAUCCUUUUCUGAUGUUAGAUGAUGGGACGAUUUUCUUCAGUGGGGUGGAUGGUCUACAAGGUUUACUUAGUGAUGGAGAGCAAGGAGAGGGAUUUCUGCUAAGUUAUGAUCCAAGAAACGACACUUAUGGUUAUGCACUAAAACUGAGAGGUUCCCAAUCCAUUGGCAUUUACACAGGAAGCCUGCUGAGUUUAUAG
rnacentral:rRNA from 1 species